CCUCCAGGUGGCAUCGGGUGCUGCUGAUGCUGCUGCCCACAACAUGGCUUUUGCUGUGUCUAUGUGGCGAGCCUCCUGGCUGUUUCUCUAUGGGUUGUCCACCGAGGCCCAGCAGUCCUUGCAGGACUUGCCCUUUGAUGGCAGUGCCCUAUUUGAAGAGCAAACAGGCAGCAAGUUGCAUGGCCUCAAGGACUCCCACACAACCCUGAAAACCCUGGGUCUCUACGUCCCAGCUCCAGUGUGUAAGCAGUUCAAACCACAGCAGCCUGAGAGCCAGGGUAGCCAGCCUUGGCAGGACCAGUCCCACAAACGAGCCAAGGGCUACAAGCGCCACCUGCCUCCACCCUCUACCCAGUCGGGAUCGACCCGCAACAAGCAAGGAGCCAAAUGGUUGCAUUGAGGGUGCGCCCGAGAGCAACCUACCAAACUAUUCCCGGAUCCACCUUUCCCUUUUCCUCCCUGCUUGGGCAGUUGUAACUUCAGACUGCGGGGUCCUCAGCACAGUGGAGCAGGAUUAUAUGCUACAGUUCCUUUCUAUCCCCCUUUGCACCUGCCUUCCCCAUCCCUUUUCAGGGACCCCUCUCCCGAGAGCCUCAUAGCACAGGAGAUAAAGUGGUUGCUCCAGCUGGGUGCAGUGGAAGAAGUUCCUCUCGAGUACAGGAACAAGGGGUUCUAUUCCCAGUACUACUUGAUCCCAAAGGCCAAGGGUGGUCUACGGCCCAUCUUGGAUCUGCAAGCCCUAAAGAUGCUAAAAUUCCGCAUGGUCUCUCUGGCUUCUAUUAUCCCCUUUCUGGAUCCGGGAGACUGGUAUGCCGCCCUCGGCUUGAAGGACUCAUACUUCCACAUAGUGAUCUUUCAAGGACACAGACUCUUCCUCCGGGUUACAGUGGGACCCCCACCACUUCCAGAUUACAGUCCUCCCAUUCAGUCUGGCGAUGACACCGAGGGUGUUUACCAAGUGCAUGUCAGUGGCAGUGGCUUACCUCAGGCGCUGGGGCAUCCAGAUCUACCUGUACCUUGACGACUGGCUUGUCAAGGGUAGCUCCAGGUCUCAAGUCUAGAGGGAUGUUGUGAUACUUCAAGCCACGUGCUGCUCUCUGGGCCUACUGGUAAAUGACAAAAAGUAAACGUUAGUGCCAGUGCAGAGGGUAGAGUUUAUCAGAGCUGUCCUCUACUCGACCUGCGCCAGAGCGUUCCUGCCACUGGAAAGAUUCCAUACGUUGACAAACUCAUCACGGAAGUCUCCGCAUUCCCUCUGACUACAGCCAGGGUCUGUCUGUGCCUGCUGGGCCACGUGGUCCACCAUGCCAGGCUCUGGAUGCGCCCCUGCAACAAUGGCUGGGGAUCGUCUAUUCCAAGUCCCGAGACCCCUGGAAAAGAUAGUUACCAUUUCCCAGGCGAUACUUACCUUGCUGCGAUGGUGGACCAACUGGAGGACAGUCCUGGAGGGGGUUCCGUUCGACAACCCUCCUUACUCCAUCAAGCAGAUGUCAGAUGCCUCGGACUUCAGCUGGGGUGUGCAUCUUGGCAUUCUCCAAACUAUGGGGAUGCGGUCCCCUGAGGAGGCGUAGUUGCACAUAAAUGUCAAAGAGCUCCGAACAGUCCGGAUGGCAUGCAGAGUCUUCCUGCCCCACCUGUUGGAUAAGGUGGUACAAAUCCUGAUGAACAACAGAGCCUCGGUGUUCUACAUCAACAGGCAAAGGGGAGCACAUCCAUUGACUCUCUGCCAAGAGGCAUUCCAUUUCUGGGACUUCUGCAUCAGCCACAAAAUCCACCUGGAAGCUCGUCACCUUCUUGGCAUCAGGAAUAUGCUGGUGGACCAGCUCAUCAGGCAAUUCUCCUCUCACCACGAGUGGUCACUCCAUACAGAGAUAGCCUGCACAAUCUUCCAAAGGUGGGGAACUCCCAAAGUGGACCUGUUUGCUACCAGACAGAACAGGAUAUGCCACCGGUUUUGCUCAAGGCAAAGUCUGAGCAAUGGCUUCCUCCGGGAAGCCUUUUAUACACAUUCCCUCCAAUUCCACUCAUCAGCAUGGCCCUGGCAAGGAUCAAGAGAGACAAAGCCCAGAUUGUCAUGAUCACCCCGGCGUGGCCUCACCAGCAUUGGUUCGGCACGCUCAUGAACCUGACAGCAGCCCCUUUCUGGGCCCCGCCCAACCGACUGGACUUGCUGUCACAGGACUACAGUUGGCUUUUACACCCCAACCUUGGCUCCCUCCCCCUCUCAGCGUGGCUGAACCCAGAGGAGUGGAUGAAGCGUUAAUGUUUAGCUAUUCCACCUGGAAGCAGGCGGGGCACACCCUGACUGUUUCGUAGAAGCAAUGCACACAUUGCUCUAUCCAAGGACAAGGGCUAGAUAUGAACCAUGAGAACUUGAUUGUUUCGACAGCAACUGUGGGAGGCUUUCUUAGCCUGGGCUCAAGGCCUGAGAACCAGGAUUGUAGUAGAUAGAGGAUGGUAACUAAGUAUAUGAAUUAACGUCAUACAUUCCUUUGUGUAGCAGUGUGUAAUGCUUAGGGGGAGAAAUAUAAUAAAAGGAGAAGGUGGAAGGCGGGGGGGGCAGAACGGCCCGUCUCAGCUGACCAGCCUGUUUGCUUGCAUAAAGCUGUGUUCUGUCUCAUCACUGAACCGCCACAACUGGCGCCCAAACGUGGGGCCCUCAGCACUCACCUCGCCCGGCAAGGGUUUCAGACGCGUCACUCAUCCGCUUCGUGGAUCCCGGGCUGGUGGACACUGGAGCUGACGUUACGGUGAUUCGUGAUCUGGAGUGGCCGGACCGUUGUGGGUUCCAGCUCGGUGUGUGCGACCGGCACUUAAACAACAUGGCAUGGCACCAGGGACUGUCGAAUCCCAUACCAGAGUUUCAGCUGACCUUGGAGGAGACCGCGUUGCCCCCCGAGUCGACAACGACGGGACGGAAACGGAGGAGGCGUAGCGUCCCAAGCCAGCCCGUGACAUGGGGAGCAGUAAAAGCAUUGGUCGCCGCGGCUCAACGAAGACUGGCAGCAGAUCAACAGCCAGAGACUCCUGAGACUUUGUUUGUGGCGAUUCUCGCCCAAAUCACUGCUAAUUCUGUGAUGAUUGUGUGCCUUUUGUGCCUGCUAUUUCCUGUAGGGGUUGGCUCAGAAGCGCCUCCCCCGUUAUAAGCCCGAAUGACAUAUAACAUAUGGGAAAGAUUGGCUUCAAUAGCAAAUGUUACCCACUUUUGUUUAUUUAAUUUUGUAGCAGCCGGAGAUUUGUUAGGUACAUGCCUUAUUCCAGUAUGUCAUCACCCUGGGGAGAUGGAGAAUAAGACACUGUUCUCUGCUUAUGUUAAUUUUUCCUCCCAGUACUCUAGCAUGGCUAAUUGGGGCCCGGCCAACUAUAUUCUGCCUCGCACGGCUAUAUCCCUCUACACACCGUACCCGGCCGGGGCUCACAAUGUCACCUGUGCGCGUGUAGUUAACUGCACUAGUACAAAGGUGCCCUUGGGCUGUCGAAAAAUUUCUCAACCCCUUUUAAAUUGUUCCCAUGCUGUUAAUGUUUCAUAUAAUUAUGGCCAUAUCAUCCUACCAUCAGGAUGGGUUUUUACUUGCGGUUCAUAGAAUAUAAUCAUAGAAUAUAAGGGUUGGAAGGGACCCCAGAAGGUCAUCUAGUCCAACCCCCUGCUCGAAGCAGGACCAAUUCCCACACUUCACGCACCUUUAAUUAUAUUCCUGCAAAUUUAAGUGAUGGCACCCUUUGCUGUCUUAGUAGAAUGAUACUUAUAUUGCCUUUUGCUGGUUAUAAUUGUAGUAAAAGAAGUGUACCCCUUUUAGAUGAUUAUAUUGCAGAUGUUGAGCUUUUGGUUAUUCUGUGUUUGAAAUCAUUGGGCUUAUUUUUUUGCUGCUGCUGUGUACAAUGUAUUCUUUCCUUGUUAAGACUUUGUAAAAUUUUGCCCUGGAAAGCUCCCCAGGUUAUGUCCUUGUCUGUCUGGGAGUUAAAUAGCAUGACAAAACAAAUUGACGGCUGCCAUGAGAUGGCCAAAUAUCAAUAAAUAAAAAACGGGGAGAUGAAGGGUUAAUGUUUAGCUAUUCCACCUGGAAGCAGGCGGGGCACACCCUGACUGUUUCGUAGAAGCAAUGCACACAUUGCUCUAUCCAAGGACAAGGGCUAGAUAUGAACCAUGAGAACUUGAUUGUUUUGACAGCAACUGUGGGAGGCUUUCUUAGCCUGGGCUCAAGGCCUGAGAACCAGGAUUGUAGUAGAUAGAGGAUGGUAACUAAGUAUAUGAAUUAACGUCAUACAUUCCUUUGUGUAGCAGUGUGUAAUGCUUAGGGGGAGAAAUAUAAUAAAAGGAGAAGGUGGAAGGCGGGGGGGGGCAGAACGGCCCAUCUCAGCUGACCAGCCUGUUUGCUUGCAUAAAGCUGUGUUCUGUCUCAUCACUGAACCGCCACAAGUGGACCUGUUUGGAAGGGGUCCAACGGGUCCUCCUGGAAAGUAGGAACCCUCAACUAGACUGACUUACCUGGCCAAGUGGAGGAGGUUUUCCCACUGGUCCCACAGUGGGAUCUUAACUUAGUCCUCUCUAGACUCACUGGCCCACCCUUUGAACCGCUGGGUUCCUGCUUCCUUUCCCACCUGUCAUAGAAUCAUAGAAUAUCAGGGUUGAAAGGGACUUCAGGAGGUCAUCUAGUCCAACCCCCUGCUCAAAGCAGGACCAAUCCCCAACUAAAUCAUCCCAGCCAGGGCUUUGUCAAGCCUGACCUUAAAAAAUUCUAAGGAAGGAGAUUCCACCACCUCCCUAGGUAAGGCAUUCCAGUGUUUCACCACCCUCCUAGUGAAAAAGUUUUUUCUAAUAUCCAACCUAAACCUCCCCCACUGCAACUUGAGACCAUUACUCCUUGUUAUGUCAUCUGCUACCACUGAGAACAGUCUAGAUUCAUCCUCUUUGGAACCCCCUUUCAGGUAGUUGAAAGCAGCUAUCAAAUCCCCCCCCUCAUUCUUCUCUUCCGCAGACUAAACAAUCCCAGUUCCCUCAGCCUCUCCUCAUAAGUCAUGUGUUCCAGUCCCCUAAUCAUUUUUGUUGCCCUCUGCUGGAAAUUUUCCAAUUUAUCCACAUCCUUCUUGUAGUGUGGGGCCCAAAACUGGACACAGUACUCCAGAUGAGGCCUCACCAAUGCCGAAUAGAGGAGAACAAUCACGUCCCUCGAUCUGCUGGCAAUGCUCCUACUUAUACAUCCCAAAAUGCCAUUGGCUUUCUUAGCAACAAGGGCACACUGUUGAUUCAUAUCCAGCUUCUCGUCCACUGUAACCCCUAGGUCCUUUUCUGCAGAACUGCUGCCUAGCCAUUCGGUCCCUAGUCUGUAGCGGUGCAUGGGAUUUUUCUGUCCUAAGUGCAGGACUCUGCACUUGUCCUUCUUGAACCUCAUCAGAUUUCUUUUGGCCCAAUCCUCCAAUUUGUCUAGGGCCCUCUGUAUCCUAUCCCUACUCUCCAGCGUAUCUACCUCUCUUCCCAGUUUAGUGUCAUCUGCAAACUUGCUGAGAGUGCAAUCCACACCAUCCUCCAGAUCAUUUAUGAAGAUAUUGAACAAAACUGGCCCCAGGACCGAUCCUUGGGGCGCUCCACUUGAUACCGGCUGCCAACUAGACAUGGAGCCAUUGAUCACUACCCAUUGAGCCCGACAAUCUAGCCAACUUUCUCUCCACCUUAUAGUCCAUUCAUCCAGCUCAUACUUCUUUAACUUCUUUCAUGGAAGGUUGCGUUCCUGGUGGUGAUGACGUCGGUGAAACGGGUCUCCAAAAUUAAAGCCUUGACCUCAGAGCCUCCAUACAUGGUGUUCUGCAAAGAUAAAGUUCAGCUGCAGCCCCACCUGGCCUUCCUGCCAAAGGUGGUGUCCCCCUUCCAUAUGAACCAGGACAUCUUCCUCCCAGGGUUCUGUCCCAAAGAGCACAAGACCAGUGAAGAGAGGCAUCUCCACGCCCUGGAUGUCUGGAGGGCCUUGGCUUUUUACUUGGAGCAUACCUGCCUUUCCAUAAAUCAAACCAAUUCCUCAUUGCUACAGCGGAUAGGAGGAAGGGUCACCCAGUGUCCUCGCAGAGGAUUUCCAAUUGGAUUACCUCGUGCAUAAGGACCUGUUACCACCUGGUGGGUGUUCUGCUGCUGCCGAUUGUCAGAGCCCACUUGAAAUCGCAGGGGUCUUUGGUGGCCUUCCUGGCACACAUCCCUAUCCAGGACAGCUGUAGAGCCGCAACGUGGUCCUCUGUCCACACGUUUACCACUCAUUAUGCCAUCACUCAGCAAGCCAGGGACGACACUGAGUUCAGCAGAGCUGUGUUGCAAUCUACACGUAUGUGAACUCCUAUCCACCUCCAGGGGUACUGUUUUGGAGUCGCCUAAUAUAGAAUGGACAUGAGCAAGCACUUGAAGAAGAAAAGACAGUUACCUUUUCCGUAACUGGUGUUCUUCGAGAUGUGUUGCUCAUGUUUAUUCCUCAAUGCGCCCUCCUUCCCCACUGUAGGAGUUUCCGGCAAGAGGGAACUGAUGGUGGGGGGAGCUGGCGGUGCCCCUUACACCGUGCCAUGAGGGCUCCUCUCCAGGGGGUGCUAGAGCCGGUCCCCUAUGGAUACUGCUGAGGGAAAAACUUCCAGUACCAGUUCAUGUGGCGAGCACACACACCUAAUAUGGAAUGGACAUGAGCAACACAUCUUGAAGAACACCAGUUAUGGAAAAAGUAACUGUCUUUUACUCCAGGGCUGUCUGAUAUCACUAGCAAGAAGCGAAAUGUUCAUGAGAAGCAAUUUUGUUUUGUUUUGUUUUUUCCUACAUUUUUCCCAGCUGGAUCAAGAGAGCUCCAGACAACUUUGCUACAAUGCUAAUUGAAAAUGGCUUUUAUUGCACAGUGGCAUGUGACCUUUCUCAGCAAAACAGAAACCAGCUUGAAAUGCACAGUGAACAGCAGCCCGAUGAGCUUCAGAAAUAGCUACAAAGCAGUGGUUCCCAGCCUUUCUGAGCUGGAGCCUCCCACUAAUUACAGUGAAUUGGCCUGUGACUGUCCCUCCCAUCAACAUGUUCUAUCCCCGCUUCUGUUUCUUCCUUCCUGUUUGGUGCUUGCUCUCCAUGAAACCGUCUGCUCUUGCUCCCCUCCCCCAUUUACUGACAAUCAAUUAAAACAUUUAAAAU